GGUUAAGCGACUAAGCGUACACGGUGGAUGCCCUGGCAGUCAGAGGCGAUGAAGGACGUGCUAAUCUGCGAUAAGCGCCGGUAAGGUGAUAUGAACCGUUAUAACCGGCGAUUUCCGAAUGGGGAAACCCAGUGUGAUUCGUCACACUAUCAUUAACUGAAUCCAUAGGUUAAUGAGGCGAACCGGGGGAACUGAAACAUCUAAGUACCCCGAGGAAAAGAAAUCAACCGAGAUUCCCCCAGUAGCGGCGAGCGAACGGGGAGGAGCCCAGAGCCUGAAUCAGCAUGUGUGUUAGUGGAAGCGUCUGGAAAGGCGCGCGAUACAGGGUGACAGCCCCGUACACAAAAGCGCAUGUGUUGUGAGCUCGAUGAGUAGGGCGGGACACGUGGUAUC
rnacentral:rRNA from 1 species